AAGUCGUAACAAGGUCUCCGUUGGUGAACCAGCGGAGGGAUCAUUACCGAGUUUACAACUCCCAAACCCCUGUGAACAUACCUAUCGUUGCCUCGGCGGUGCCCGCUCCGGCGGCCCGCCAGAGGACCCCAAACUCUUGUUUUAUACAGUAUCUUCUGAGUAACACGAUUAAAUAAAUCAAAACUUUCAACAACGGAUCUCUUGGUUCUGGCAUCGAUGAAGAACGCAGCGAAAUGCGAUAAGUAAUGUGAAUUGCAGAAUUCAGUGAAUCAUCGAAUCUUUGAACGCACAUUGCGCCCGCCAGUAUUCUGGCGGGCAUGCCUGUUCGAGCGUCAUUUCAACCCUCAAGCCCCCGGGCUUGGUGUUGGGGAUCGGCGUGCCCUCGCGGCGCGCCGUCCCCGAAAUCUAGUGGCGGUCUCGCUGUAGCUUCCUCUGCGUAGUAGCACACCUCGCACUGGAAAGCAGCGCGGCCACGCCGUUAAACCCCCCACUUCUGAAAGGUUGACCUCGGAUCAGGUAGGAAUACCCGCUGAACUUAA
rnacentral:rRNA from 1 species